GCGUUCCGGCUCCGCGCGCCUGCCAGGCCGGGGCCGGCGGCGGAACAGCUUGGGACCCGAAACGCCUCGGCUUUUCUGCGGACCCGCGCCCGGCCGCUGCCGCCGGACGCUUGAAAAGAGGCAGAGUCUUGCUUUGUUGUCCAGGCUGGUCUUGAACUUCUGAGCUCAAGUGAUCCUCCCGCCUUGGCCUCCCAAAGUGCUGAGACUACAGAGAGAGAAUGCUAACGAGCUGUGAAAUGACCAAAGAUCUGGCAGCAGAAGGGAAAAGAAAAAAUAAUGGGAAGAAGAGGAUUUAUCUGACUCAACUGGAGAUGGCUCCCUUCCCUUAUUUAUUGUUGCAUCCUGAAGCUUCCCCCAUGCUGGGCUCAGUGUGAACAAACAGCGCGGGAGAAUGCAACCACUGCAGAGGCAUAUGUUUGAGAUACCUGGCCACUGGAGGUCAUCUCGUCUACUAUAUUCACCGCAGAUAAAGAAUGAAAAGAGAAUACACAACCUUGUGAUUGCUAGCAGUGAAAGCUCAGAGUUAUGACAUAACAGAAUUGGCUCAUGUGACUAUGGAGGCUGAGAUGUCCCAAGAGCUGGAUACCCAGGAGAAGCAAAGGCACCCUGUCUCAGCACUCUCCCAACUUUGUCCCCAGGCAGUGAGUGCUUCAUGGCCAGAGAGAGAUAGGACUGAACCCUCGUACCUUCAAACAUAUCUAAAUCUCUGGUGCAGUUCAGAGUGGUUGAUCAUACUGUAAAACUCAAAUGUGAAGGGAAGGCUGGAACCUACUGGAAACUGAAGAUCUAACGAAAAGAAGGAACUUUUAGGAACUAGCAGAGACUUCAAAAUGUUGAGAACUCUCUUUUUUCAUAAGAGAAGAUAAAAACUCUGAUGGUCACACUCAUAAAGACAAAAAACAAAUAAAAAACAAACAAAAACUCAGAAUCACAAGAGCAAAGAAAAUGUAGGUAAAACAAUAACAGAAGAGGUAAAGAAAUUUAUGUGAAUUGGGACACUCUGGGGCACAGAACAGAAGAGGAGAAGAAACAUGAAAGUAAUGCUCUGCACAAGGAUGUCUGACUGUCCUUGAUUCCAAGGGCAUUUAAAAUUAGCCACUGGAUGAGAACCAUGAAAUGCCAUGACUCUUACAGCUCCCAUGAAAGACAUUGGAUGGAACUUAUCCUAACUGGACCAAAUUCUAAAAAAUUUUACAUGAUAUUAUAAUGAGUUGAAAGUUGAAAAAAAAAAGCUCUUCUAGAUUACCAAGAAUAAAACACAAAUUUCUAGCUGACUGAAUUAAUUCUCAUCUCUCUAUAGAAAGAUCAUAGAAAUUUUUUUUAUCAUGCAAAGAAAUAGCUAAAAAUUUACAAAAAUAUAGACGUGCAUUAGGCAGCUCAUGAAUAAAUGCGUUUUUUCCUUUUUUCCUCCAGAAUUUUGUGAUGUUUAUGGUACUUUUCGGCUUUUAAAAUUUUGUAUUUAAUCAGGAUUUAUUACUUCAUUGUAAGUAAAUAUUAAAUUUGUACUCCAUCUUUGUUUGUAAUUUUGUAUAUUUUUCAGUAAAAAGGACUCCCCAGAUUAUGUAAGCUUUAGGCCCCACAAAAUCUAGGCCUGUUGCUGUAUCCUUUCUAGAGCAGUGUUUCUCAAACUUCAAUGUGCAUUUGAAUCUCCUGGGGCUCCUGUUAAAAUAUAGCUUCUGAGAUGAUGCAUUUCUAACAGACUCCCAGGGCUGACACUGCCCAUCUGGGGACCACACUUUGAGAAUCAAAUAUCUAGAACAAUGGUUCUUACCUGGCUGUGCAUUGGGAUCAUUUAUAGUGCUUUUGGAAAAUACAUUGUGUCCAGGUCCCACCCAGUUCUCAGUAGGCUUGGAAUGGGGUCCUACACUUUUUUUUUUUAACUCCACAGUUUGGGAAAGAAGCCUUUUCAUAUAUUGUUGGUGGGAAUACAAAUUGAUACAGCCAUUUUUGAGCUUGAUUUGGCAAUAUCUUCCUUGGAGAAAUCAAAAGCCAGUUGGCAAGCCAGUCUGGAAAAGGCAGUUUACUGAUUCCCACCCGAGGGUCACAAAGCAGGUAUAGAAGGAUGGGCUUUGGCUGAAAUAUAUGAUGGGUACAGGUAUAUUCUCUAUAAUCCAGUAUUUCCACUGCUGAAAACGUAUCCUAGUAACAUUAUACAUAUCAAGCCUACAUAUAAAGUUGGUCAAUUCCAUAUUAUUUGUAGUAGGGGAAAACUGAAAGCAGUCUACAUGCCCAUCAAUAGAUUAUUCAAAUUAUGGAACAGUUUUCCAAUGACAAAACAAUAGCUAAUCUUAGUUAAGCAAUUAUUAUGUUAUGUAAGGUAGACAUUGUUCUACCUUAUUUAUAAGUAUUAAGUUAGUUUUUAUAACUAUCAUAUUUCCAUUUUACAAAUGACAUAAUUUAUAUUAUUGACAUGGGAAGAUGUCCAAGGAUAUAAUAAGCAAAAAGCAAGUAGCAAAACAUUAUGUAUAUUAUGCAUUACCAUUAUAAUAUACUAAAAAGUAAUGCACUUGAUUCUGAUGCACACUCCCCAGUAGGUAACAACUUAUCUAGUGUAAAAAUGAAAGAACAUUCUGGGCCGGGCACGGUGGCUCAUGCCUGUAAUCCCAGCACUUUGGGAGGCCCAGGUGGGCGGAUCACAAGGUCAGGAGAUCGAGACCAUCCUGGCUAACAUGGUGAAACCCCGUCUCUACUAAAAAUACAAAAAAAAAAUUAGCUGGGCGUGGUGGCCGGCGCCUGUAGUCGCAGCUACUCGGGAGGCUGAGGCA
rnacentral:lncRNA from 1 species